UACGAAGGGGGCUAGCGUUGCUCGGAAUCACUGGGCGUAAAGCGCACGUAGGCGGAUUGCUAAGUCAGGGGUGAAAUCCUGGAGCUCAACUCCAGAACUGCCCUUGAUACUGGCGGUCUCGAGUCCGGGAGAGGUGAGUGGAACUGCGAGUGUAGAGGUGAAAUUCGUAGAUAUUCGCAAGAACACCAGUGGCGAAGGCGGCUCACUGGCCCGUUACUGACGCUGAGGCACGAAAGCGUGGGGAGCAAACAGG
rnacentral:rRNA from 1 species